GACGAACGCUGGCGGCGUGCUUAACACAUGCAAGUCGAACGGAAAGGCCCUGCUUUUGUGGGGUGCUCGAGUGGCGAACGGGUGAGUAACACGUGAGUAACCUGCCCAUGACUUUGGGAUAACUUCAGGAAACUGGGGCUAAUACCGGAUAGGAGCUCCUGCUGCAUGGUGGGGGUUGGAAAGUUUCGACGGUUGGGGAUGGACUCGCGGCUUAUCAGCUUGUUGGUGGGGUAGUGGCUUACCAAGGCUUUGACGGGUAGCCGGCCUGAGAGGGUGACCGGCCACAUUGGGACUGAGAUACGGCCCAGACUCCUACGGGAGGCAGCAGUGGGGAAUAUUGCACAAUGGGCGGAAGCCUGAUGCAGCAACGCCGCGUGCGGGAUGACGGCCUUCGGGUUGUAAACCGCUUUCGCCUGUGACGAAGCGUGAGUGACGGUAAUGGGUAAAGAAGCACCGGCUAACUACGUG
rnacentral:rRNA from 1 species